CACCAACUCCAAACAUAGACAACAAAUGUAGAUAACCUGGCUUCGCAUGUCCCGCCUUUACUCGGUCAUGCGUCCACUUCUAGACAGUCUCCUGUCUCUCAUUCACUGUGACUACGAUGGGUUCGACGUUCUACGCCCGCCCACAGUCCAAACAGCUGGUUUCCAAUGUCUUUUUAAUGCCACAUUCCCUGUGUAGAUGCCGGCUAGUCAUCGACCGUCCCAGGGAGGGGAACAACCAACAAUGUUGUCUACGCAGCAGACACCAAAAAAAAAAAACAUAAUGGAAAUUCAAAACUCGGACAACGGCAAUCUUUACGACGGAUUUUUCUUGAAUAUCUGGACUGGACAACAUAGAUCUUAUCUUGGUCCUGGAGUCCCUUCCAACCAUGAGUGUAUCCUUCGACGUUUUUUGGACACCUCUUUUGGACACAUGUCCCAAUUCUGUUUUGUGGGUCGUGCUACCUCGCCUAACUUAUCUCACCCCAACACGAAUUUCUUUGCACAACACUUCAUUUUCUUUUCACAUUAUAAUUCAGAACUACACCUUAAAUUUUAACAUUUAAUAAUAAUAAUAAUAAUCCUACCUACGGUACCGAACUUUAACAGGGAGUACAUGUAUAUAUGAAUCAAUAA